rnacentral:rRNA from 1 species
UGGGGAAUUUUGGACAAUGGGCGCAAGCCUGAUCCAGCCAUGCCGCGUGCGGGAAGAAGGCCUUCGGGUUGUAAACCGCUUUUGUCAGGGAGGAAAUCUUCUGAGUUAAUACCUCGGGAGGAUGACGGUACCUGAAGAAUAAGCACCGGCUAACUACGUGCCAGCAGCCGCGGUAAUACGUAGGGUGCAAGCGUUAAUCGGAAUUACUGGGCGUAAAGCGUGCGCAGGCGGUUUUGUAAGACAGGGGUGAAAUCCCCGGGCUCAACCUGGGAACUGCCUUUGUGACUGCAAGGCUUGAGUGCGGCAGAGGGGGGAUGGAAUUCCGCGUGUAGCAGUGAAAUGCGUAGAUAUGCGGAGGAACACCGAUGGCGAAGGCAAUCCCCUGGGCCUGCACUGACGCUCAUGCACGAAAGCGUGGGGAGCAAACAGGAUUAGAUACCCUGGUAGUCCACGCCCUAAAACGAUGUCAACUGGUUGUUGGGAAGGUUCCUUCUCAGUAACGUAGCUAACGCGUGAAGUUGACCGCCUGGGGAGUACGGCCGCAAGGUUGAAAACUCAAAAUGAAUUGACGGGGUCAUAGCUGUUUCCU